rnacentral:rRNA from 1 species
GACGAACGCUGGCGGCGUGCCUAAUACAUGCAAGUAGAACGCACAGUUUAUACCGUAGCUUGCUACACCAUAGACUGUGAGUUGCGAACGGGUGAGUAACGCGUAGGUAACCUGCCUGGUAGCGGGGGAUAACUAUUGGAAACGAUAGCUAAUACCGCAUAAUAUUGAUUAUUGCAUGAUAAUUGAUUGAAAGAUGCUAUUGCAUCACUACCAGAUGGACCUGCGUUGUAUUAGCUAGUAGGUGAGGUAACGACUCACCUAGGCGACGAUACAUAGCCGACCUGAGAGGGUGAUCGGCCAAACUGGGAAUGAGACAAGGCACAGAAUACUAAGGGAGGCAGCAGUAGGGAAUCUUCGGCAAUGGACGAAAGUCUGACCGAGCAACGCCGCGUGAGUGAAGAAGGUUUUCGGAUCGUAAAGCUCUGUUGUAAGAGAAGAAAGGGUGUGAGAGUGGAAAGUUCACACUGUGACGGUAUCUUACCAGAAAGGGACGGCUAACUACGUG